rnacentral:lncRNA from 1 species
ACCCUUGUAUGCUUUUCCAAAGCACCCUUGUCUAGUAAUGUUUCUUUCACUGAAAUUCUCUAUUGCUAGCUGUAUUUCCCGCAAGGAAAACCUUCUGAGUUGUCCAAAGGAAAUAAUAAUCCAGCCAAAGUAAUGAUGAUUUCGAUUUCGAGCUUGGACCUGUGAGCGGUGGAGGUUGAUUGGAGAGGGAUUCUGUAUGAAAAGCUGAUUGUUGGAAUCGACAACUGUAGUGGUGCUAUUGCUGUUGGGUACAGUUUUUCAAACAAAUUAGUUCUUCCUGUUGAUUCUUGAUACAUUUGUGUAAAAAAUUUCAUUCUCUUCAUUGAGUCUUUUCUUGUUAAAAUGUUUUUGCCGGUAGAGUUUAGCCAAACAAACCCUUAGAAUAGGACUUCAAGGGGUGGAGAGAUUUAACCGAUUGGCG